UCCUGCCUCCACUGACCCCGCCGGACGUCACCCCUCCGGCGCCGCCAUCGUACCGCCGCCGAUUUCGACGGCGUCUCCGCCCCCCCCUCCUUUCUCAUCUCUCUCUCUCCCUCUCUCUCUCUCUCCGCCUUUCUCUACAGAUCUCCGUCUCCCCCACUCCGCCGCCGUCGACCUCGGGCCCGCCGUCACGCCACCGCCACCACGGUUCUGCCCCAGCGCCGACGCCGACCCCUUUCUGGAUCCGCCAUGGCUGAGAGCACGGCGGCUCGCCGUGGCGGCCUCCCUCUCUCCCUCUCUCGGUCCUCCUCCCUUCACCGCCGGCAUGCACCGCCUCCGCCACCGAGGUCGUUCUCCGACAGAUAGGAUUUUAAGGAAUGAAAACAGUGGCGAAUUUCGGAGCGUGGGCUGUCGAUUGUCGGCGACGGAGUGCCGAGUUCGCUGCCGGAAGUCUCUCCGGCAAAUUUCUAUGUUAUUUAAGCUAAGUUCUUAGUGCUCCUUAAAGUCUGCCAUUUCUAAGUUCUUGAGAGCCUAUAGCAACUAAGUUCUUGAGGUGCUAAUUCCAUCAAAUACUAAUUUAGCAUUUUGGGACAGAGGUUGUUUUAAGCCUACGUGCAACAUGUUUGGAUACAAAAAUUUGUGUCUUGAGCAGAGACGUCUUUGCCUAUGUGUAAAAUAUUCAUGGAUGCCAAAUUGGGGUUCUACCUAUUUGAAAUUCUGGCAGAGACAUGUUUGGUCUAUAUGUCAUGCUGAAACCUAUAUGUCAUGUUGUGAAUAUGGGGAGGAAAGUAAGGAUUUUUGGUACUCACCUUGUUGUGAUGUGGAAAAAAGAAGGAUUUGUUGUUAGCUGGAUUUUCUUCUAUGUAAACGUCCUUUUCUUGGAAGGAUUCUUGUUGCCUUUGUUGCCUUUUUAGAGGUGAAUAUUUUGGUUUGUGAAAGAGUGUGGCAGUGAAAGUGACGGUAUAUAUGUGUAAGGAAGCCAAGUUGGCUGACAUUCUUCUGCCAGUAUAUUUUUUUGUCAGGAGAGUUA